AGCGAACGCUGGCGGCAGGCCUAACACAUGCAAGUCGAACGGAUCCUUCGGGAUUAGUGGCGGACGGGUGAGUAACACGUGGGAACGUGCCCUUUGGUUCGGAACAACUCAGGGAAACUUGAGCUAAUACCGGAUGUGCCCUUCGGGGGAAAGAUUUAUCGCCAUUGGAGCGGCCCGCGUCUGAUUAGCUAGUUGGUGAGGUAACGGCCCACCAAGGCGACGAUCAGUAGCUGGUCUGAGAGGAUGAUCAGCCACACUGGGACUGAGACACGGCCCAGACUCCUACGGGAGGCAGCAGUGGGGAAUCUUGCGCAAUGGGCGAAAGCCUGACGCAGCCAUGCCGCGUGAAUGAUGAAGGUCUUAGGAUUGUAAAAUUCUUUCAGCGGGGACGAUGAUGACGGUACCCGCAGAAGAAGCUCCGGCUAACUUCGUG
rnacentral:rRNA from 1 species